GGGAUAGGAUGUAGUCUAAUGGUGAGACAGCAGACUGUAAAUCUGUGCGUAAGCAAUGUUGGUUCGAGUCCAACCAUCCCCA